UUUUUUUUUUUUUUUUUAAUCUAGUGUCACUGUUAACCUGUCAGACCUCUAGAAGUAAAACAAGAGAGUAUUCUUAGUGUGGGCAUAUGGUAGUGACCUUGGAAAGCCAGAAGUGAACAUUGCUGAGCCCAAACAGGAGCUUGAAGUGUCUCGGUGGUUCCUCGGCCCAGUAAGUGCUGUGUUCUCCUCACGCUGCUACUGCAGCCUUGGCCUAACCUAACUGGAAAGCAUCCUGCCAGGAAUGUGCGCACAGCCGAGUGCACACACACUGUGCCACUCCUGUCAAGAGAAGAUCCCACUCACUGGUCAGCAGAGUUAAGUCUCUUCAUCCCUCUUGACCAGUCCUCUGAUGCUCGAGGACACUGCACAGGAGCGCUCUCAGGGAUUCAGAGAAGUGAUGAAGCGGAUUCAGAGCCUGCUGGAUAUCCAGGAAAAGGAGUUUGAAAAGUUUAAAUUCGCAAUUGUCAUGAUGGGCCGGCACCAGUACAUCAAUGAAGAUGAGUAUGAAGUGAAUUUGAAGGACUUUGAGCCACAACCUGGUAACAUGUCUCAUCCUCGGCCUUGGCUAGGGCUUGACCACUUCAACAAAGCCCCAAAGAGGAGUCGCUACACUUACCUAGAAAAGGCAAUUAAAAUCCACAACUGACUUCCUUCCCGUGUCCAAGGCGAGGGACAGUGCGUGGGUGUGUGCCCUUUUUAACAGCCGUAGAACUCUGGUGCACGUGCACUCUACCCGAAGUCUCCAGCAAGAGGGUUUGCUGCCGAUGUUAUUUUAUUUUGUUGAGGCUGUUCAGUUUGGCUUCUCUGUAUCUAUUGACUGCCCUUUUUGAGCAAAAUGAAGGUGUUUUUAUAAA
rnacentral:lncRNA from 1 species